GGAGGGGUGGCCGAGCGGCUGAAGGCACCGGUCUUGAAAACCGGCGAUGGGAAACCAUUCAAGAGUUCGAAUCUCUUCUCCUCCGCCA
rnacentral:tRNA from 12 species